rnacentral:lncRNA from 1 species
UUGAAACAGGGAGAUAUAUGUCUCAUCUUCUACCCACAUAUGUAAAUCAAAAGAGUAGAGCUUGAGAGGGAAGAGGAGAUAUAUAUAGAGAGAGAGCGUGAAGGACAGGGGUGAUGACCGUAGGUUCACCACCGUCACCAUCACCGUCAAUCCACCUUUGCGGUCACAACUACACUACCGGAUCAUCUCAGAGAGUCACCACGUCACUUUUGCCUCAAGGUUUGUAAGUACUUUGUUGGUGUUGCUGUUUUGUUCAGGAUUUAAGUAGCCAGAACUAUUGGCCCAACAACUAACGUAGAGCAGGAAGGAUGAAUCAGUUGGAGACCAUUUUUUUGGGUAAGCUGCUUAUGCUGAUGUAACAAUAGCUAGCAACGUGAAGCCAUGAAAAAAGAAGCUGCAACUCAAGAAACAUGAAGUUAGGAAAUUACCACAUGACGUGUUAGUCACUUAACUUGUGCAACACAGUUAGCUACAUGAACGCACCUUUCGUAAAAGUUAUGUACGUAGCAUCGUCGUUGUAAAACAUACUAAACUUCUUCAUGUAAAUAAAUAAUGGUUUCUGGUAUGAAAUCAUUUAGUCAUAGCCGCAACGCGGCGGGGUCUUCACCUAGUUUUAAUUAUUUUAUAUUGUCCAUCCAACUAUUAAAUAAGUUUCAUAUAUCAUCAAGUACAAAAUGGAAUAUGGAUUCAGUAGAAUUAUGUACACACCAAACUCUU